UUACAGAGCUUGUAUAUUUUCAUAGCUCAAACAAUCGAAAAUUGAAUUAUAGAUGGGUGGAUAUUUAGGGAUAUCUGCGUUCCUUGAAGAAGACAACAUAUUCUGAAGCUUUGAGAAUUCUAAGGAAAAAGAUUGGCUUUCAAUUCACCGAAGCUGAGUGUCUCAAGAUUGAUGUAAAAGAGAAGAAAGUCUAUUGCCAAUCUAAUUUAGAGAAUGGGGAAAAAGAAAUUUGAGUGGACUACGACUACCUUGUAAUAUUUGUGGGAGCAAAUGUUAAUACAUUCAAUACUCCUGGUGUGAUGGAGAACUGCCAUUUCUUGAAGGAAGUAGAAGAUGCCCCAGAAGAUACGAAGAACUGUUAUUGAAUGCUUUGAAAAGGCUAGCCUGCCAACUGUAAAUGAUGAGGAGAAGGAGAGAAUUCUUCAUUUUGCCGUUGUUUGAGGUGGCCCAACUGAGG